CGCCAAGAAGCUAAAUAGGGCCAUUAGCGUUAGCCUUUUAAGCUAAAGAUUGGUGAUUCCCGACCACCCUUGGUGA
rnacentral:tRNA from 1 species